rnacentral:misc_RNA from 1 species
GUGUGCUACGAAUUAUCAAAUAUACGACACAUUGAGAUUCAGAUCGGACGUGGUGGCUCAACAAAUUCGCUCUCACACUGGACGUUGGAGAAAUUAAGUCGCUCGUAAACACUACGGCAACUGUGCGUAUAUAUAUAUAUAAGGUGGAUGAAUAAAUGGAUGGAAGGACGAACGAAAUGUAUGAAGUCGUCAUUAAAUACCAAGCAAGAUAUCAGUGAGAUAUGUUAUUAACAAGAUUCUCAUUAACGUCUCAUUCUUUAUCGACAUUCGGUGAGAUGUAUACAAAGAUCGUCACGGUUGCAGAUGACGAUGAGUUCAUAGGCGCUCUGUUUCGCUGAGACAAUGUCAGAAGAUAAUUUACCACAUAUUUCGUACGGGCUUGAUAGCCGUGGAAGAAUAGUACGUAUCGAGUCUGGUAUAACGAGAGCAAACAUCAGGCGUCUUCCAAGCAUAGAAGAAGCUCUAAGAAGAUUCAGUACAAACUUGAGAGUCGACAGACAAGUCAAUGAUUCGAACGAUGUUUCAUACAUUAGUCAAUACUUGAGUGUCAUAUACUUUAGGAAUGUGUCAUAUAUUUUACUAAUUCCGAUGUCAUAUAUUUUACCUGGAACUUCUGACUUUCAAGCACAAGUGGUAUCAUCAGAAGAAGAAAUUUCUCAGAACAUAUCCGAAGAUAUAACAGAUCGUGAAUUAUCCAUUGAUAUCACCGAUGGGGUGUCUUCUCCAAAUUAUACAACGUCUAGUAUGCGAUCAUUGAGUAUGGAUGAAGACAAGCGAUAUUGUUGGGUGUGCUUCGCAACAGACGAGGAUGAUGCUACUGCAGCAUGGGUCAAACCAUGCCACUGUAGAGGCACUACAAAAUGGGUUCAUCAAGGUUGUAUACAAAGAUGGGUCGACGAGAAGCAAAAAGGUCAUGCCGAACAUGCUGUAGCCUGUCCACAGUGCAACACGGAAUACAUAAUAGUUUACCCAAAUAUGGGUCCACUAGUGGUAAUACUCGACACGAUCGACACUGUUAUCUUCCGGGUGUGUCCCUUUAUCGCUGCUGGUAUCGUCGUCGGAUCCAUAUACUGGACAGCUGUAACUUAUGGUGCGGUAACCGUUAUGCAAGUAGUGGGUCACAAAGAUGGUCUUACCAUGAUGGAACAAGCCGAUCCUUUGGUCUUGCUCGUUGGUUUACCGACUAUUCCAAUUAUGUUGGUUCUGGGGAAAAUGCUCAGAUGGGAAGAUCAGGCUCUAGGUUUCUUGAGGCGGCAUGCCUGUAAAGUUCCUAUCCUGAGGCACUUCUUACCGAGUAGUUAUUCCAGCGAGGAUACAGUGCAAUCGGAGGAUAUACCACCGAUGAACGAUCCUGUGUCUGCGACGCGCGUGCUUUGCGGUGCGCUCUUGUUGCCAACAAUCGCCAGUAUAUGCGGAAAGCUGUUCUUUGAAAGUAUAAGUUCCAACUUUCAGAGAACGCUGCUUGGUGGUGCGGCGUUCCUAACGAUAAAGGGUGCAUUUAAGAUUUACCACAAGCAACAACAAUACAUGAGACAGUGUCAGCGUCGUGUAAUGGAUUACACAGAGAGCAACGUGGCGCUGUACAAGAGGCAGCAAAAUUCUGAGAGCGAUCAGACGAGUUAAAAAUGAAAGAAUCAGGCAAUCGUUGGGGGAUAUACAGUGGAUGAAAAAACGAGGUGAAGGGUGUUGAGCAAUGUGUGGAAGCACGGGGUAACAUCUUUAACAUAAUUGUAUGAGACACGAAUACACACACACACACACACACACACACAUAUAUAUAUAUAUAUAUACAUAUACACGUAAUAUGGAAUAUUUUUCCCAAUCUUCCUUGUAUAGUAAAUAAAAAUGGGAGUAAUAACAGACAUAACUUCUUUCUUUAUAUUAUUAAAGUUAUGUAGUUCAAGUCAAUGGAUCGAAUAUUAAUAUUGCUCAUAGGGGAGAUGGAAUACUGCAGGAAAAGAGAAAUUAACGCGACGAAUCGUUGUGACAAAUACUUGUUAUCCGUAAUUUGUAAGGGUGAUUCUAGAAUCUGGUGUAAUAUAAAUAUAAGAGCCUAUUGUAUUUUACAACGGGUAAGAUUCGUAAGUUGUAUUUUGUAAUCUAAUUUCACAUGUAAAUGCUAAUAUAAAACAACCUAUAGGAAAACAACUAUAGGAAAUAUAAAAGAAGCUUGUCAAUAUAAAUACGAUAAUCAACAAUGUUUACAUUUUAUCUAUAACAAUAAAAUUCAUAUCUGCCUCA